AUACUCCGAGAACUGAAAGGCUUUUUGAAGUCUUCGGAUGGAUAGAAGAACCCCUGAUGCCGUCGAGCCAAGAAAAGUUUCUAAGUUUAGUUAAUGUUGCCCGUACCGUAAACCGACACAGGUGGGUGGGAUGAGUAUUCUAAGGCGCGUGGAAGAACUCUCUUUAAGGAACUCUGCAAAAUAGCACCGUAUCUUCGGUAUAAGGUGUGGUUCGCUUCGUAUUAGGAUUUACUCCGAAAGCGAAGAAACUUACAACAAAGAGUCCCUCCCGACUGUUUACCAAAAACACAGCACUCUGCUAACUCGUAAGAGGAUGUAUAGGGUGUGACGCCUGCCCGGUGCUCGAAGGUUAAUUGAUGGGGUUAGCAUUAGCGAAGCUCUUGAUCGAAGCCCGAGUAAACGGCGGCCGUAACUAUAACGGUCCUAAGGUAGCGAAAUUCCUUGUCGGUUAAAUACCGACCUGCAUGAAUGGCGUAACGAGAUGGGAGCUGUCUCAAAGAGGGAUCCAGUGAAAUUGUAGUGGAGGUGAAAAUUCCUCCUACCCGCGGCAAGACGGAAAGACCCCGUGGACCUUUACUACAGCUUGACACUGCUACUUGGAUAAGAAUGUGCAGGAUAGGUGGGAGGCUUUGAGUAUAUGACGCCAGUUGUAUAUGAGCCAUUGUUGAGAUACCACUCUUUCUUAUUUGGGUAGCUAACCAGCUUGAGUUAUCCUCAAGUGGGACAAUGUCUGGUGGGUAGUUUGACUGGGGCGGUCGCCUCCCAAAUAAUAACGGAGGCUUACAAAGGUUGGCUCAGAACGGUUGGAAAUCGUUCGUAGAGUAUAAAGGUAUAAGCCAGCUUAACUGCAAGACAUACAAGUCAAGCAGAGACGAAAGUCGGUCUUAGUGAUCCGGUGGUUCUGUGUGGAAGGGCCAUCGCUCAAAGGAUAAAAGGUACCCCGGGGAUAACAGGCUGAUCUCCCCCAAGAGCUCACAUCGACGGGGAGGUUUGGCACCUCGAUGUCGGCUCAUCGCAUCCUGGGGCUGGAGCAGGUCCCAAGGGUAUGGCUGUUCGCCAUUUAAAGCGGUACGCGAGCUGGGUUCAGAACGUCGUGAGACAGUUCGGUCCCUAUCUGCCGUGGGCGUAAGAAGAUUGAAGAGAUUUGACCCUAGUACGAGAGGACCGGGUUGAACAAACCACUGGUGUAGCUGUUGUUCUGCCAAGAGCAUCGCAGCGUAGCUAAGUUUGGAAAGGAUAAACGCUGAAAGCAUCUAAGCGUGAAGCCAACUCUAAGAUGAAUCUUCUCUAAGCUCUCUAGAAGACUACUAGUUUGAUAGGCUGGGUGUGUAAUGGAUGAAAGUCCUUUAGCUGACCAGUACUAAUAGAGCGUUUGGCUUAUCUUUAAUAAAGCAU
rnacentral:rRNA from 1 species